UUGAGGUAGAUAUGUACAUGAAGCCAGGGUAAAGUGACUAGGCAUCAGGAUAGAUAAUAAUAAGGUAUUUGAGGUAGAUAUGUACAUGAAGCCAGGGUAAAGUGACUAGGCAUCAGGAUAGAUAAUAAUAAGGUAUUUGAGGUAGAUAUGUACAUGAAGCCAGGGUAAAGUGACUAGGCAUCAGGAUAGAUAAUAAUAAGGUAUUUGAGGUAGAUAUGUACAUGAAGCCAGGGUAAAGUGACUAGGCAUCAGGAUAGAUAAUAAUAAGGUAUUUGAGGUAGAUAUGUACAUGAAGCCAGGGUAAAGUGACUAGGCAUCAGGAUAGAUAAUAAUAAGGUAUUUGAGGUAGAUAUGUACAUGAAG